GUGAAAUUAUUAUAAUUUUGUAAAUAGACUUUAAUAAAUUAUUGGAUCUAUAAAGCUUAAAUUUAAUAAACCAGGAUUAGAUACCCUGUUAUUUUUAAGUAAUUUUUCGAGGGUAGUAAAAGUUGUACUUCAAACCCAAAGGUUUUGGCGGCAUUUUAUCUAAACAGAGGAGCUUGCCCUAUAAUCGAUAAUCCUCGUUAAAUCUUACCUUUUUUAAUAGUUUGUAUACCUCCGUUGUCAGAUUACUUUAGAAGAAUGUUUUCAAUAAAAAUAAUUUUCAGACUUCAGGUCAAGGUGCAGCUUAUGGAAAGGUAGAGGUGAGCUACAAUUUAAUUUAAAAAUUAUGGAUAAAAACUUAAAUGUUUUUGGAAGGUGGAUUUGUUAGUAAAAUUAUUUAAGAAUAAUUUUUUGAAUAAAGCAAUAAAAUGUGUACAUAUCGCCCGUCACUCUCUCUUAAGGAGAGAUAAG
rnacentral:rRNA from 1 species